GACGAACGCUGGCGGCGUGCUUAACACGUGCAAGUCGAGCGGUAAGGCCCUUUCGGGGGGUACACGAGCGGCGAACGGGUGAGUAACACGUGGGUGACCUGCCCUCAGCUCUGGGAUAAGCCUGGGAAACCGGGUCUAAUACCGGAUAUGACUCCAUGACGCAUGUUGUGGGGUGGAAAGCCUUGUGCGGCUGAGGAUGGGCCCGCGGCCUAUCAGCUUGUUGGUGGGGUGAUGGCCACCAAGGCGACGACGGGUAGCCGGCCUGAGAGGGCGACCGGCCACACUGGGACUGAGACACGGCCCAGACUCCUACGGGAGGCAGCAGUGGGGAAUCUUGCGCAAUGGGCGAAAGCCUGACGCAGCGACGCCGCGUGAGGGAU
rnacentral:rRNA from 1 species